rnacentral:rRNA from 1 species
AGCAGCCGCGGUAAUUCCAGCUCCAAUAGCGUAUAUUAAAGUUGUUGCAGUUAAAAAGCUCGUAGUUGAAUUUCGGGAUUAGUACGCUGGUCGUGCCUUCGGUAUGUACUGGUGUUACUGGUUCCUACCUUCUGAAGAACCGUCAUGUCAUUAAUUUGGUGUGGCGGGGAAUCAGGACUGUUACUUUGAAAAAUUAGAGUGUUUAAAGCAGGCUCGCGCUUGAAUACAUUAGCAUGGAAUAAUGAAAUAGGACGUUCGAUCCUAUUUUGUUGGUUUCUAGGAUUGACGUAAUGAUUAAUAGGGAUAGUUGGGGGCAUUAGUAUUCAAUUGUCAGAGGUGAAAUUCUUGGAUUUAUUGAAGACUAACUACUGCGAAAGCAUUUGCCAAGGAUGUUUCAUUAAUCAAGAACGAAAGUUAGGGAUCGAAGACGAUCAGAUACCGUCGUGGUCUUAACCAUAAACUAUGCCGACUAGGAUCGGAUGAUGUUAUUUUAAUGUACUC